GAUGAACGCUAGCGGCGUGCUUUAUGCAUGCAAGUCGAACGGUCCUGAUUUAUCAGGGCAGUGGCAAACGGGUGAGUAACACGUAAGUAACCUGCCCCUAAGCGGGGGAUAACUCCGGGAAACCGGGGCUAAUACCGCAUGUGGUGGUGGAGCUUAAGCUUCACCAUUAAAGCCUUCGGGCACUUGGGGAUGGGCUUGCGGCCGAUUAGCUUGUUGGUGGGGUAACGGCCUACCAAGGCUAUGAUCGGUAGCUGGUCUGAGAGGACGAUCAGCCACACUGGGACUGAGACACGGCCCAGACUCCUACGGGAGGCAGCAGCAAGGAAUUUUGGGCAAUGGGCGAAAGCCUGACCCAGCAACGUCGCGUGGGGGAUGAAGGCUCUCGGGUCGUAAACCCCUUUUCCCAGGGAAGAAUAAUGACGGUACCUGGGGAAUAAGUCUCGGCUAACUACGUG
rnacentral:rRNA from 1 species